rnacentral:lncRNA from 1 species
GAUGGACGUUCUGAUUAAUUUGCAAAGUUAUUUAACACCACUAUUUGAUCCAAAAAAAAAAUUUAACACCACUAUAUGAAAUGCAUAUAUAUUGACGACAAUAAGAAAAUCCAACUAAUCAUUUUGUGUCUAUGGUGAGAUGAGAUAAAUUAACUUUAGAGAAAUGAUGUAAAUACCUAGAUGAAUUGUGGCUGCAAGCGAAAAAGAAAAACAAGGAAAAUAUAAUAAUACGUAUUGUUCAAUGAUGCAAAGUAAAAGAAAAACUAGGCUAAGCAGUACGGUCUACAUUUUUUUCUUUUAACUAGACCCAGCUAACUUUUAAGUAGAUAAUACCGACGAUUAAUCUGACUCCAGAUUUUCUAAUGAGACCUAAAUAUAUGGUUUCAAUUACAUUGCAUCGUCUAGCUAGGCAGUAAUUAAUUAAUUCCUAACAAGAUUCGAAUUUAUGAUCGAUAGAUUUACAUAAUGUCACAAGACUUCUCUCUUACCACCGUACUACACUGUUUGGCUAUUCUUUGAAAUAUAAAAUGGCAAAUUAAAUUGAUAAAAGGAAAAUUAAUCACAUUCAAACCGGUCAUUUUUCUAAGAGUUGAGCAAAACAGUUUAUUUAAAAUAAAAUUACCAUGGUUAAUCAUAUUACAUGGUGUUUUCAAACGAUUAGAGAGUAGAGUAUUAGCAGUAUCAAAUUCGGCUACACCGUUCACCGCGAACAAAGAUAAAAACUCGUGGAUCUUAGAAG